AGUUAUUUAACUGUUACUGGUAUUACACAAACUUAGAUAUAUUGUACAAACACUUAUGUCUUUGGGGAUGUGAUACCUGCUUUUGUUUUUGUUUUUUUUUUAGCUUUUUAGCCUCUGCAAUAUAAGAAAGUACACAAUAAGCAGGUUUGAAUGGAUGUUGAGCAAGCCAAUCCAAAUAUAUCAUCCCUCACACGUAUUUUCUUCCCAUUCUUAAGCCGAUAAAUGUAUCAUUGAGGAACUAGGCUGAUUUAAAAUUACAAGAACUUUAAA
rnacentral:lncRNA from 1 species